CCUACGGGAUGCAGCAGUAGGGAAUAUUGGACAAUGGGCGAAAGCCUGAUCCAGCCAUGCCGCGUGUGUGAAGAAGGCCUUCGGGUUGUAAAGCACUUUCAGUGGGGAAGAAAGCCUUGGGGCUAAUACCCUCGAGGAAGGACAUCACCCACAGAAGAAGCACCGGCUAACUCCGUGCCAGCAGCCGCGGUAAUACGGAGGGUGCGAGCGUUAAUCGGAAUUACUGGGCGUAAAGCGCGCGUAGGCGGUCUGAUAAGCCGGUUGUGAAAGCCCCGGGCUCAACCUGGGAACGGCAUCCGGAACUGUCAGGCUAGAGUGAAGGAGAGGAAGGUAGAAUUCCCGGUGUAGCGGUGAAAUGCGUAGAGAUCGGGAGGAAUACCAGUGGCGAAGGCGGCCUUCUGGACUGACACUGACGCUGAGGUGCGAAAGCGUGGGUAGCAAACAGGAUUAGAUACCCCGGUAGUC
rnacentral:rRNA from 1 species